UGUGACCUCAAAUCAGGUAGGACUACCCGCUGAACUUAAGCAUAUCAAUAAGCGGAGGAAAAGAAACUAACAAGGAUUCCCCUAGUAACUGCGAGUGAAGCGGGAAAAGCUCAAAUUUAAAAUCUGGCAGUCUUUGGCUGUCCGAGUUGUAAUCUAGAGAAGUGUUAUCCGCGCUGGACCGUGUACAAGUCUCCUGGAAUGGAGCGUCAUAGAGGGUGAGAAUCCCGUCUUUGACACGGACUACCAGGGCUUUGUGAUGCGCUCUCAAAGAGUCGAGUUGUUUGGGAAUGCAGCUCAAAAUGGGUGGUAAAUUCCAUCUAAAGCUAAAUAUUGGCGAGAGACCGAUAGCGAACAAGUACCGUGAGGGAAAGAUGAAAAGAACUUUGGAAAGAGAGUUAAACAGUACGUGAAAUUGCUGAAAGGGAAACGCUUGAAGUCAGUCGCGUUGUCCAGGGAUCAACCUUGCUUUUGCUUGGUGCACUUUCUGGUUGACGGGUCAGCAUCAAUUUUGACCAUUGGAAAAAGAUUGAGGGAAUGU
rnacentral:rRNA from 1 species